UAUAUUUUAGUGUAUGAAGCACAUUAAUUUUUGAUAUUAUUAGGUAUAGUUUAAUUCUAUAAAAUAUAA
rnacentral:tRNA from 1 species